UACAGAGGUCCCAAGCGUUGUUCGGAUUCACUGGGCGUAAAGAGCUCGUAGGCGGUCUGUUGCGUCGGCUGUGAAAACCCGGGGCUCAACUCCGGGCCUGCAGCCGAUACGGGCAGACUAGAGUUCGGCAGGGGAGACUGGAAUUCCUGGUGUAGCGGUGAAAUGCGCAGAUAUCAGGAGGAACACCGGUGGCGAAGGCGGUGGUCUGGGCCGGUACUGACGCUGAGACGCGAAAGCGUGGGGAGCAAACAGG
rnacentral:rRNA from 1 species